rnacentral:rRNA from 1 species
AAAAUCCGGAAAAUCAAGGCUGAGGCGUGAUGACGAGGCACUACGGUGCUGAAGCAACAAAUGCCCUGCUUCCAGGAAAAGCCUCUAAGCAUCAGGUAACAUCAAAUCGUACCCCAAACCGACACAGGUGGUCAGGUAGAGAAUACCAAGGCGCUUGAGAGAACUCGGGUGAAGGAACUAGGCAAAAUGGUGCCGUAACUUCGGGAGAAGGCACGCUGAUAUGUAGGUGAAGCGACUUGCUCGUGGAGCUGAAAUCAGUCGAAGAUACCAGCUGGCUGCAACUGUUUAUUAAAAACACAGCACUGUGCAAACACGAAAGUGGACGUAUACGGUGUGACGCCUGCCCGGUGCCGGAAGGUUAAUUGAUGGGGUUAGCGCAAGCGAAGCUCUUGAUCGAAGCCCCGGUAAACGGCGGCCGUAACGAUAACGGUCCUAAGGUAGCGAAAUUCCUUGUCGGGUAAGUUCCGACCUGCACGAAUGGCGUAAUGAUGGCCAGGCUGUCUCCACCCGAGACUCAGUGAAAUUGAACUCGCUGUGAAGAUGCAGUGUACCCGCGGCAAGACGGAAAGACCCCGUGAACCUUUACUAUAGCUUGACACUGAACAUUGAGCCUUGAUGUGUAGGAUAGGUGGGAGGCUUAGAAGUGUGGACGCCAGUCUGCAUGGAGCCGACCUUGAAAUACCACCCUUUAAUGUUUGAUGUUCUAACGUUGACCCGUAAUCCGGGUUGCGGACAGUGUCUGGUGGGUAGUUUGACUGGGGCGGUCUCCUCCUAAAGAGUAACGGAGGAGCACGAAGGUUGGCUAAUCCUGGUCGGACAUCAGGAGGUUAGUGCAAUGGCAUAAGCCAGCUUGACUGCGAGCGUGACGGCGCGAGCAGGUGCGAAAGCAGGUCAUAGUGAUCCGGUGGUUCUGAAUGGAAGGGCCAUCGCUCAACGGAUAAAAGGUACUCCGGGGAUAACAGGCUGAUACCGCCCAAGAGUUCAUAUCGACGGCGGUGGUUGGCACCUCGAUGUCGGCUCAUCACAUCCUGGGGCUGAAGUAGGUCCCAAGGGUAUGGCUGUUCGCCAUUUAAAGUGGUACGCGAGCUGGGUUUAGAACGUCGUGAGACAGUUCGGUCCCUAUCUGCCGUGGGCGCUGGAGAACUGAGGGGGGCUGCUCCUAGUACGAGAGGACGGGAGUGGACGCAUCACUGGUGUUCGGGUUGUCAUGCCAAUGGCACUGCCCGGUAGCUAAAUGCGGAAGAGAUAAGUGCUGAAAGCAUCUAAGCACGAAACUUGCCCCGAGAUGAGUUCUCCCUGACCCUUUAAGGGUCCUGAAGGAACGUUGAAGACGACGACGUUGAUAGGCCGGGUGUGUAAGCGCAGCGAUGCGCUGAGCUAACCGGUACUAAUGAACCGUGAGGCUUAACCUU